CGGGAUGUCGUACAGCGGUAGUAUUCAUGUUUUGGGAACAUGCGACCCGGGUUCGAUUCCCGGCAUCCCGA
rnacentral:tRNA from 1 species